GACGAACGCUGGCGGCGUGCCUAACACAUGCAAGUCAAAGGAAAGCGGCUUCGGCCGGGAGUACUUGGCGCAAGGGUGAGUAAUGUAUAGGUAAUYUGCCCUUUGGACUGGGAUAACCCCGAGAAAUYGGGGACAAUACCAGAUGAUGCAGCGGAACCGCAUGGUUAUGUUGUUAAAGAUUUAUCGCCAAAGGAUGAACCUAUAUCCCAUCAGGUAGUUGGUAAGGUAACGGCUUACCAAGCCUACGACGGGUAGCUGGUUUGAGAGGAUGAUCAGCCMCAUUGGAAMUGAGACACGGUCCAGACUCCUACGGGAGGCAGCAGUGAGGAAUAUUGCGCAAUGGGCGAAAGCCUGACGCAGCAACGCCGCGUGGAUGAUGAAGUUUUUCGGAAWGUAAAGUCCUUUUGUAGAGGAAGAAUAUCUUGGUUUACCAGGACUGACGGUACUUCUGUG
rnacentral:rRNA from 1 species